CAUGUCUAAACUCAAUACUAUAAAUGUUCAUGUUAAAAUCUGUAUUACUCUUAAUAUUAUUUGUUUAUUAACAAUUCAUAUUUAUUUUUUUCGUAGACAAAGUCAUCUGCUAAAUAAAUAAAUUGGCAUUUACAUCCAAAGUAAUUUUCAAAUGAGGAAUGCAACAAGCAAUUCAUCUUAAGGAGGAAAUAAACCCAAGGAGUCUUAGUAAUGCAAUGCGUCAGGUUAGUACAAAUGUAAUUUCAUGCAGUUGCAAAAGCUUUCCUCUAACCAAUAGCAAAGCAAAAAGGUUAGAAGCAGCAGAUAUCAUCACAUUGAAAGCAGGAAGUUCCAGUGUGAACCUGCAGAGACUCACACUAACACAGAUCUACAGCUCAGAGCACAGACAAAAUCAACACACACCUGAUCUGACCUAGUCAACAUGGAGAAACACCUGUUUCUGAUUUUAAUUCUGACUUCAGGUGUGAUGACUGCAGACCAGAUUAGGCCAAUUAAAGAUGCUGUUGUCAUAAAGGAAGAUGAAACUGUGACCCUCGGCUGCUCAUAUGAUACAAGCAGCAGUUAUGUUAGACUUUACUGGUACAGACAGUAUCCUAAUGGAAAACCUCAGUAUUUAUUAUACAAGUAUUCAGGAGGUGGAGGUGGGAGCCCCGAUGAUCGUCGAUUUCAGUCGACCCUCGUCCACAAUCCACCACAAUCAUCCACUGAACUCACUAUUACUGGUGUAACUCUGUCAGAUUCAGCUCUCUAUUAUUGUGCUCUAAGAGUAGGAGCCCAGUGAUACAAA